GGAAUCUUGCACAAUGGGGGCAACCCUGAUGCAGCGACGCCGCGUGAGCGAUGAAGCCCUUCGGGGCGUAAAGCUCUUUCGACCGGAACGAUAAUGACGGUACCGGGAGAAGAAGCUGCGGCUAACUACGUGCCAGCAGCCGCGGUAAUACGUAGGCAGCAAGCGUUGCUCGGAGUUACUGGGCGUAAAGCGCGUGCAGGCGGUCUCUUAAGUCUGGUGUGAAAGCCCGGGGCUCACCCCCGGAAGGGCACUGGAGACUGGGAGGCUAGAGUACCGGAGAGGAAGGUGGAAUUCCUGGUGUAGCGGUGAAAUGCGUAGAGAUCAGGAGGAACACCGGUGGCGAAGGCGGCCUUCUGGACGGCUACUGACGCGGAGACGCGAAAGCGUGGGGAGCAAACA
rnacentral:rRNA from 1 species